GCCUUCGUGGUGUAGUGGUCUGCACGCUUGAUGCGUAACCAAGAGGUCCGUGGUUCGAUUCCCGAGGAAGGCU
rfam:Stegodyphus mimosarum contig101966, whole genome shotgun sequence.